UGGCAAGUCGGCGGGAAACACCUCGGUCCAUACGUCGGGGAUACGCAUUGGGGAAAAAAAAUCCGCGGGCGAAAAUCUGAAUCCGAAGCAUCAAGCCGACGACUUAGCGCGAGAUCGAACGAACCGAGGUUAGUGGACGGAGGACCGGGUAUGUAUGUCAUCUGCCGUCGGGAAGUCCUGAAACAGCUAAAAUUCACGUUAAAAUUUCGCUUUGACGUUGAAUACGAAACAGUAAUCGCUGUUCUUGGAGGGAAAGAAAUAUAGAACUAAAGAAGAAAAAAAUGAAAGAGUUGUUAUAGUGCACUGUGGCUACUUUGAUAGAUAUAGAGAAGAGUUGAUAU
rnacentral:sRNA from 2 species